GACGAACGCUGGCGGCGUGCUUAACACAUGCAAGUCGAGCGGUAAGGCCCUUUCGGGGGUACACGAGCGGCGAACGGGUGAGUAACACGUGGGUGACCUGCCCUCAGCUCUGGGAUAAGCCUGGGAAACCGGGUCUAAUACUGGAUAUGACUCCAUGACGCAUGUUGUGGGGUGGAAAGCCUUGUGCGGCUGAGGAUGGGCCCGCGGCCUAUCAGCUUGUUGGUGGGGUGANGGCCUACCAAGGCGACGACGGGUAGCCGGCCUGAGAGGGCGACCGGCCACACUGGGACUGAGACACGGCCCAGACUCCUACGGGAGGCAGCAGUGGGGAAUCUUGCGCAAUGGGCGAAAGCCUGACCGCAGCGACGCCGCGUGAGGGAUGACGGCC
rnacentral:rRNA from 1 species